rnacentral:rRNA from 1 species
UUGGAUAACUGUGGUAAUUCUAGAGCUAAUACAUGCACUAUAGCUCCGACCCUUUCGCGAGGGGAAGAGCGCGUUUAUCAGUUCGAAGCCAGCCGGGUCGCAAGGCCCGUCUCUUUGGUGACUCUGGAUAACUCUAGCGGAUCGCACGGCCUUGAGCCGGCGACGCAUCUAUCAAGUGUCUGCCCUAUCAGACUGUCGAUGGUAAGUGCUAUGCUUACCAUGGUGAUAACGGGUAACGGGGAAUCAGGGUUCGAUUCCGGAAUCGAACCCUGAU